CACGCUGUAAACGAUGAAAACUAAGUAUUGCCGCGAGGCAGUGCUGUAGCUAACGCAUUAAGUUUUCCGCCUGGGGAGUACGCUCGCAAGAGUGAAACUUAAAGGAAUUGACGGGGGCCCGCACAAGCAGUGGAGCAUGUGGUUUAAUUCGAAGCAACGCGAAGAACCUUACCAGGUCUUGACAUCCCAGUGACCACUCUAGAGAUAGAGUUUUCCCUUCGGGGACAUUGGUGACAGGUGG
rnacentral:rRNA from 1 species